rnacentral:rRNA from 1 species
UGAGUAACCUGCCCUUAACUCUGGGAUAAGCCUGGGAAACUGGGUCUAAUACCGGAUAUGACUCCUCAUCGCAUGGGUGGGGGGUGGAAAGCUUUAUUGUUGGUUUUGGAUGGACUCGCGGCCUAUCAGCUUGUUGGUGAGGUAAUGGCUCACCAUGGCGACGACGGGUAGCCGGCCUGAGAGGGCGACCGGCCACACUGGGACUGAGAUACGGCCCAGACUCCUACGGGAGGCAG